GCUUUUUGUUCAGUUGGAAGAGCAUGAGACUUAAUAAUCUCAGGGUCAUGGGUUGGAGCCCCACGUUGCA